AAAAUAUUUUUUUUAUUUAAAAUAUUAUAUAAAAUUGUAUGUCUAUAUUUUUAUCUCUAAAAUUAGGAAAACAUUAGGAAAAUAAAGGGUACCACAAACUAACGGCACAUGUCACUCCGUCCCUCUCCCUCGCCUUUCCCUUCCCUUGCCAGACCUCAGAUAGAGACCGAGCUAGUUUCCUGUUGCCUAGUCUCGUCGCUUACAGCCAUAACAAAAGCCCUAGCCGAAAGCCCUCUACCAUCAGGGACAAUGCCGAUACUGCCAGGUUUCUCUCUCUCUCCCUCUCUCUCUCUCUCUCUCUCUCUCUCCACUUCAGAAGCCGACAACCUUCUUUUGGUAGACCAUGACCAAAAUCUACGGCGACUCUUUGAUUCAAACAAUUCAAACACCAAUUGAGGCAAGUGGAGCAAGAUUUCGAUGGGCCACCUCAAUUUCAGCCAUAAUGAACUCGGUGAACGGAGCAUCCAUCAUUGUUUUCUAUCUCUGUCAAAUGUCCUCACACACAGGAUAAGUUGCUGAGAAAGAGAGAGGGAAGAAGUGGCAAAGGAUUGGGUAAGGAUUGAAGCUAUACGAACGAAGGGAUGAGGACCAACAUGGAAGGAAUUUUCCUGAAAUUGAGGAACUGCAUAUCCUAUUCUAUCUAGAACCGCUUUGUGGAAGGGGUGUGUCGGUCUGGAGGUAGUGCACCGUGCAACGGUCAGGAGGGGGUGCAAAGGUCUAGAGGGUGUGCAGCAGGUUGAGAUGGAAUUUGGUGUUUUCAUACAAGAGAGGAGAAGAAACUAAUGUCGGGAGUAUUUUGUUUUCAAUUUAAUCACAUGUGAUGCAGCUCAUAAAACUAGUGUAUGGAGUGUUAAAGUGUCAUGCCACUAUUGAAGACUGUUGAACCCUUGAAAUCGGCCCCUCCAUUCCAAAGGGGAAAUGUGUUGUUAAUUGCUAUUAUUU